UCUACUCCAUCUUGCCCAGCGGCCCUGGGAGCUCGCCGCAGCCAGACUCUGAUGUUCAUCUCUGGGCUUUCAUGGUAACUUGUGCUCACUGGGUGACAAUGAUAUUUGUUUAUAGAUGACCAGGUUCAUCUCAAGCAUUCUUCCUGUGUGGACGAUUAAAGGAGUAGAGGCCAAAUUUAGCUGACAUUCUGAGAUUUUAGCCCUUGAAUGUCAUCUACCUUUCGAUUCACCAAGAGACUCUAGCCCAGAGGUAUACAGCACAUUUCCCACAAUCGGUUUUAUUUUCCUAAAAUGGGUCAUUCUUCAGUCAGAAGCUUCAUCUCCAUUGAAGCUCUACUCAGCCAGACACAAUGGUGCAUCUCUGUAAUCCCACCACUUGGGAGACUGAGGCAGGAGGAUCACUUGAGCUCAGUAGUUGCAUACCAGCCUGGAUCCCAAAGCAAGACCAAGACAAAAACAAAAUAACCAAGAAAACUAAACAACAACAACAAAAAACCUACAACAAGUUACAUGAAGAUUGAUAUUUGUCUUCCAGAACCCAUUUCCUCCUUAUUCUAUAGUAGAACCUGAAUUCAAAAAUCAAGUAUGUGACCACCUGUAAUUAAGUUUACAUUUCCAGGGGCUGGGGUUGUGGCUCAGUGGAAGAGUCCUCGCCUAGUAUGCAUGAAGCACUGGAUUCCAUCCU